GAUGAACGCUGGCGGCGUGCCUAAUACAUGCAAGUCGAACGAGUUCUCGUUGAAUCUCGGUGCUUGCACCGAGAUUCAACAUGGAACGAGUGGCGGACGGGUGAGUAACACGUGGGUAACCUGCCCUUAAGUGGGGGAUAACAUUUGGAAACAGAUGCUAAUACCGCAUAGAUCCAAGAACCGCAUGGUUCUUGGCUGAAAGAUGGCGUAAGCUAUCGCUUUUGGAUGGACCCGCGGCGUAUUAGCUAGUUGGUGAGGUAAUGGCUCACCAAGGCGAUGAUACGUAGCCGAACUGAGAGGUUGAUCGGCCACAUUGGGACUGAGACACGGCCCAAACUCCUACGGGAGGCAGCAGUAGGGAAUCUUCCACAAUGGACGCAAGUCUGAUGGAGCAACGCCGCGUGAGUGAAGAAGGCUUUCGGGUCGUAAAACUCUGUUGUUGGAGAAGAAUGGUCGGCAGAGUAACUGUUGUCGGCGUGACGGUAUCCAACCAGAAAGCCACGGCUAACUACGUGCCAGCAGCCGCGGUAAUACGUAGGUGGCAAGCGUUAUCCGGAUUUAUUGGGCGUAAAGCGAGCGCAGGCGGUUUUUUAAGUCUGAUGUGAAAGCCCUCGGCUUAACCGAGGAAGCGCAUCGGAAACUGGGAAACUUGAGUGCAGAAGAGGACAGUGGAACUCCAUGUGUAGCGGCGAAAUGCGUAGAUAUAUGGAAGAACACCAGUGGCGAAGGCGGCUGUCUGGUCUGUAACUGACGCUGAGGCUCGAAAGCAUGGGUAGCGAACAGGAUUAGAUACCCUGGUAGUCCAUGCCGUAAACGAUGAAUGCUAGGUGUUGGAGGGUUUCCGCCCUUCAGUGCCGCAGCUAACGCAUUAAGCAUUCCGCCUGGGGAGUACGACCGCAAGGUUGAAACUCAAAGGAAUUGACGGGGGCCCGCACAAGCGGUGGAGCAUGUGGUUUAAUUCGAAGCAACGCGAAGAACCUUACCAGGUCUUGACAUCUUUUGAUCACCUGAGAGAUCAGGUUUCCCCUUCGGGGGCAAAAUGACAGGUGGUGCAUGGUUGUCGUCAGCUCGUGUCGUGAGAUGUUGGGUUAAGUCCCGCAACGAGCGCAACCCUUAUGACUAGUUGCCAGCAUUUAGUUGGGCACUCUAGUAAGACUGCCGGUGACAAACCGGAGGAAGGUGGGGAUGACGUCAAAUCAUCAUGCCCCUUAUGACCUGGGCUACACACGUGCUACAAUGGAUGGUACAACGAGUUGCGAGACCGCGAGGUCAAGCUAAUCUCUUAAAGCCAUUCUCAGUUCGGACUGUAGGCUGCAACUCGCCUACACGAAGUCGGAAUCGCUAGUAAUCGCGGAUCAGCACGCCGCGGUGAAUACGUUCCCGGGCCUUGUACACACCGCCCGUCACACCAUGAGAGUUUGUAACACCCGAAGCCGGUGGCGUAACCCUUUUAGGGAGCGAGCCGUCUAAGGUGGGACAAAUGAUUAGGGUG
rnacentral:rRNA from 1 species